UGACCUCAAAUCAGGUAGGACUACCCGCUG
rnacentral:ncRNA from 6 species